rnacentral:rRNA from 1 species
CAAUAGCGUAUAUUAAAGUUGUUGCAGUUAAAAAGCUCGUAGUUGUAACUUGGGCCUGGCUGGCGGGUCCGCCUCACCGCGUGCACUCGUCCGGCCGGGCCUUCCUUCUGAAGAACCUCAUGCCCUUCACUGGGCGUGCUGGGGAAUCAGGACUUUUACUUUGAAAAAAUUAGAGUGUUCAAAGCAGGCCUUUGCUCGAAUACGUUAGCAUGGAAUAAUAAAAUAGGGCGUGCGUUUCUAUUUUGUUGGUUUCUAGAGACGCCGCAAUGAUUAACAGGAACAGUCGGGGGCAUCAGUACUCAGUUGUCAGAGGUGAAAUUCUUGGAUUUACUGAAGACUAACUACUGCGAAAGCAUUUGCCAAGGAUGUUUUCAUUA